rnacentral:tRNA from 1 species
GGUUGGGUAGUUUAUGAAGAGCGGGGGUUUUGUAAACCUCAGGUGUAAGUUUUACCCCAACCU